rnacentral:lncRNA from 1 species
UACCCUAUAUGAUCCGCCAUUUUUUCUGACUUGAGGGAAUACAACAACGGCUUCAGUCAUCUUCUUCAUCAAAAAAAUGCCGAAAAACCUUAGACAUUCAAGAGCAAAAUCGUCAACCACUCCCUCAACACCCAAUUCUCCAGACCUAGACACAAUACACAAGGAGACCUAAUUUCCCAAAAAUGAAAAAACAAUUCCUAAAGCUAAGUGAUAGCAGCAAGACCGCCUGAGCAACCUCACCUUCCAUGCCAUUCUUUUAGUUUCAUACUGUCCUUCUAUUCUCCUCUCACAAUAAUUAUUCUAUACAAUAUUUUUUGGAAUUUGUGUGACUUUCAAUUUUGAAGAAAAUCGUGAUCUAACCUGCUACGAAUCAGUGUUUGAAUAUCAGUGAAGAAGAUACAAAAUACUUUAGUUUUCCUCUCUGUUUUUAAUCCAAUUUCGUGAAGGAAAAAUCAGAACAAAAUAUGACUAUAAGCCGAAGUUUGAAGCUGGUUUGAGUUGUCGGCGUGAGGUUUGUUCGAGGUUCUGUCGCAUUCGUGUUCCCGUUGGCAUCUUUGGUCAUUGCUCAAUUUUUUCGGCUAGAUUCUCGUUUUGCUUUCCGAUUAAACAGAGAUGUAAAUCCAGAGUUCUAUUGAUCGGAGAUAAAUCCGCAAACUAAGGUCUGUUUCUUAUACCUAUCUCGUUACGCUAGUUGAUGAAUUGUGUUAAUUAUUUGCGGCUCUUCGAUCCUUUAUUUAGUCAAUUUCACAAUCUGUUUAAUAAGUAGUAACUACUACAUGCCUAUAGCAAAAUCUAAUUACCAAAAAGUAUUGGUUGGUUUAUAUGUAAUGCUAACAUGAUUAGGCGUAAAAUAAUAGAAGUAAAGGCAUCAAAUUCAAGUAGAAACGUGUUACUAAUUUUUAAAAGAUGCAAUAACUAACCAAACUUGCUAACAUCGCAAGCACAAGAGGACUCAUGCAUUAAGGUAAUAGGUAAAUUUUCAUGAUAAUUUGGAUACAUUCUUUAAGUCAUUAAAUGGGUAACUAAAAUAAGAAUGCAAAAUAUCUGUUAUCAAGAGAAUUAGUGUGUUGUUGGGGUAUAAUGAUGAAUCUCCAAAAAUGAGCAAACUUAAUUGAAGGGCAGGAACCAAUUGAUAGUCUUGUGAUACUUUUUCCUGUUGCUUUCAGAGUUGUCUUAUUUACUUAUAAAUCGCUAGUACCAUGUUUAGGCCGACCAUAGGGUGGGAAAACUUUUCAGCGCGUAAUAAAUUAUCGUGGCCAUGGGUACGGUUCCCGUGGCAUGGUCGCGAUACAUAAAUCUCAAUUCGGAUGUGCAUUUCAUAUGACCCGACCAUAAUCUUGAAUAAUAAUAAUAUAGAAAUAAACAUGUUGUAAAUUACGGGUACAUUUCAUAUGACGCGGUUCGCAAUAUGUACGACAAUCGUGAUUUGUUCCAUAAACAUUAAAGGCGGUUAGAAAGUUAAAAAAUGCACAAUGGGUAUGAAAUAAGUAAUUAAUCAGAUAAUUAGGUCAAUAAUAAUAGUUGAGCGACUGUGCUAGAACCACGAAACUCGGGAAUGCCUAACACCUUCUUCCGGGUUAACAGAAUUCCUUACCCGGAUUUUUAUAUUCGCAGACUGUAAAACAGAGUCAAUCUUUCCUCGAUUCGGGAUUUAACUGGUGACUUGGGACACCAUAAAUUAUCCCAAGUGGCGGCUCUGAUUUUUAAAUAAAAUAAUCCCGUUUCGAUUGUCACUUAAAUUGGAAAAAACUCCCUUAUAUAAUCCUUCCGGGGGUAGUAAAAAGGAGGUGUGACACCGAGGGGCUCAGGCGUGUUUCAGAUUGAUUUUGGAGCAUUUUGGAAAUUUUUGGCUAAGGCUUAUUGCUGCUGGUUCUGGUGGAGCCGCAGAAGCGAAGGUUGUUGGCGCACCUGCGCGUGUGUAGAGGCGGAAAAUAUCCGCAGGUGCGGAAGGGUCGGUCUCCAUGGGCUUCGCAGAUGCGAGAUUCCAUUCACAGAAGCGGAGGUCGCAAAUGCGACAUUUUAACCGCAAAUACGGAAUCGAUGGGCAGAAUGUUAUAAGUUCGAGGGUUGGUUAUUUUUAUCACAUAUUGAGCUAUGGACUUCGGAAUGGAGCGAUUUUUGGAGCAAAUUUCAUUGCAAGGAUUGGGGUAAGUAUUCGCUACUCGGGUUUGGUUAUAUUUCGUGAAUCUAUCUUCAAUUUUAGCUUUUGGUUGAUGAAUUUUAAAGAGGAGAUGGGGGCUUUUGGCUUAAAGUUUCAUAAUAUGAAUUUUUGAGUUUUCAACAUCGAAUUGGAGUCAAAAUUGAGUGAAACUAGUAUGGUUGGACUCGUAAUUGAAUGGGUUGUCGGAUUUUGUAAGUUUUGUCGAGUUCCAAGGUGCGGGCCCAGGUGUGAUUUUUGGCCGGAUUUGGGAUUUGAUUUAGGAUCUGAUUUUUAUUAUUUGGAAUUGUUUCCUUGGGCUUUAUUUGAUGUAUUUGAGUUUCUUUUGGCUAGUUAUUAGCCGUUCGGAGAUUGCUACGCGCGUGAUGGCAUUUUUGGAGCAUCACUUGGCUUGCUCGGUAUUGGAAUUUGGCUUGUUUGAGGUAAGUAACUCUUCUAACCUUAGUGCUGAGUGUAUGAAACCUCGAUGGGAGCUGGAUUUGAAGAUGUACCUGCAUUCCAAUUUAGCUACCUCUUGUUCAUGGUAGCCGUAGAUUUAUAAAAGCUCUGUUUAUGUACUUUUCAAACCGAAGAUGUAUUUACUUCAUAUCAGCUUUGUAAAUUCUAUACUUAGAAGCUCAUGAUUUGUACCACCAGUCCUUGAGAAAGUGUAUAAGAUUUGGAUAAUACUCUUGUUUAAAUUGCCUUAUUAAAUAUUAUGGGAAUUGGAUAGUAUAGUUAGCUUACUGAGCGGGUUGGGUUAGGUUCCAUCACGACUAGUGGAUUUUGGAUUGUGAUAGAUUGGUAUCAGAGCUCUAGGUUAAUAGGUUCUACAAGUCAUGAGCAAGUGUCUAGUAGAGUCUUGCGGAUCGGUAUNNNNNNNNNNNNNNNNNNNNNNNNNAUCGGUAUGAUGACGUCCAUACCUAUCUUCGAGAGGCUACAAGACAUUUAGGAUAUACUUCCCAUCUUUCUUUCCUUAUCGUGCGACAUUGAUUCAGCUUGAAGCGCAAUCCUUUGAAUUCCUUCCACGCAUUCGUAUGCACACAUGAGCACUCGGUAUCAGCUGUGCACCGACGGCUUGUGAUUUCAUGGAUGAGGCAUGAGAUGUUGAUUGUGUGAGCACGUGCUUUUGGAUUUAUAUGUCCGGUAGUGUCCUUAUUAGUGGAAUUUGUGGCUGGAUGACUGUGUGAUGAGUAUGAUAUGACUGAAGAGAUAUGUUCAUAUAGGUUGAAUGUGACAAGAAAUUUUUGCUUGAGGUGUAGAAAGGACUAUCGGGUGCUUGAUUUAUGUCUUGAUGUGACGUAUAGUCUCGAAUUAUGAGUGAAUUGAAGGAUCUUUCAUGUUGUUUAAUUGUGGAAUAAAUUAGAUUCUCAUGUCUUGUUGACGAGUUCAGAAUCAGGAAGAUUAAGUAAUUGUGUAGUAGUUAUGACUGUGGAAGGGUAUAGAAAGAUGUUAGUUCGAGGCUAAGCAGGUGGGUUAUCUCCUACGGGAUGUCUUGAGGUUGUGUGAUCCCUACUUUAUUUUGUUGAGAGUUCUCUUUACAAGUGAAUUAUAUAUAGUGCAAUUUGAGUUUGGAUCGCUUGUGAAAGUUGGCUUGAGUGUUACGAGGAUGAAUACGAGAUUUGCAAAUAAUUUGAGGUAUUAUAUGGUUUGUGUUACAUGAGCUUAGGAAGGAUUUAAAUGAAUCCGAUUGCGGUAUUAUGCUUGUAUGGGGGUGGCUAUUAUAAGUUAUCAGAUGCUUUAUUCCUUGGCUUUGAGCCAAGUGGGGGAGUCUGCUAUCGACGGGGUGAUUGCAUGGUUAUGUGUUGUAUUGGUUUCGGGUUUGUGGUAUACUUGUGAAUAAAUUAUGAUUUGCAGAGGUGGAGAUCGAGGAUGACUCGAGUAAAGAAAUUUCUGGAUAUGGGUUGUAUUAUGUUUUGUGGGUAUAUGGGAAACAUUGUAAAGGAUAUAGUGUGCAUGAAGUAGGGGUUCACUCGGUUGCUUCGGAGCAUGGAUUACUUCCUUGGGUGUUGUUGUACUAAUGGGGCACAAGUCGUUUGGUUCGCUUGGUUGGUUUAAUUGAGAUCUGAGUAGAGUGGAAGACUCUCAACAAUAGUUCUAAUGGAUGCAAGAUUUAAAUGUAGCAGUUGGGAACUUUUAGGAUUUGUAUAUGGUUAGAAACUGAGAUCUUCAUUAGAGAGUGUCGGGACUCUCGAUAUUUCUAUAUCCUUAUGGAUUCUACAUUUCAGUAUCAGGAAGGUAAAAGAACAACUUGAAAUUCGUAGGAGGUCUCUUCGGAGUGAGUAUCUCAGUUGUGGUAUUUUUGGGGUGCUUAAGAGAGCAUUCAACAGCUUAUGAGCCUUAGGGCGGUGUGUUUUUAUGCUAGGGUCUAGUGUGGUGAGUUUUGGUUGAGGAUUGUGGUAUUAUGGCAAGGAGAGGUAUCAAUUUGAAGGUAAUUCGAGAGGAACUCGGAGAAUUUGGACAACUUAGUAGUAGGUUAAAUCAGCACAAUAAUGGAUAAAAUCGGUUCCUUGGGUACUUAAGAUGUGGCUAGUCUCUACAGGUGUUUCGUGGUAAUGCUCUUCGGUUUUUGGUGACAUGCGUGGCUUGGUUGAGUUAGAGAUAUUUAGUUUUGAUGGCUUGAUUAUGGGAAAAUGGGUUUCGAAGUGUUCUCAAUUAUUCCUACCAUAGUUCAAAGAGUAUAUUUCCUACGGGCGUGAGGAGCAUGUGAUGUAUAGUGAUUUUCUCCGGAUGGAAUCAAAUGAAAAGUUCUUAGCUAAUUGAGUAUGUAGUUGCUUGUGACUUGGAGUGGAUUACGAAGUUCUCGUAUAUUUUUCAUAUGAUGUCAUGGUAUAUGCGGUGUAUUGUGUAGGAUUGAGAUUUGCAUGUGUAAGGUCACAGUUCAAAUUUGAAGGGAAUGACAUGAAUUCUUAGGCAGUAUGGACGAUCUCAGAUGGCUAGAUAAAUGAUAUUACUAUUAGAUAUGGCUUGAUGAGAGUGUAAGUUUCAGAAGGGGCACUGUGUUUCGAUUUAUGGAUACUUCAUUCAUAUUGCAACACUCUCUUGGUUGAUCGACUGCUGAUGUUCAAAUUUUACUUUGUGGCACAGAAGAAUUUUAGAAGUAUUCCUCAUGGGAUGAUCGUGUAUUAGAGAUGUAUUAGAUAUUCGGGCGGUGGAGUUGGGAUCAGAUACGGUGAUUCAUGUGUGUUAUGGAUUUGGAGACUGGAGUUCUCAUAAGUAGAUUAUUUCGUGGUUGUAGACCGUGAAAAUGUGGCCAAAGCUAGUAAGAGGAUGGUAUGUGUUAUGGUUGUGUCAUUGUGGAUCCUCGGAGGGUUACUUAUCUAUUUUUGGGUGUCUAGAGCUAAUUCGGAGGUCCAUUGGUAGGCCCAAUUAGGAUGUGUAUUCUACACCGAGCCGGAUUAGUUGGCUCCAUACUGCUAUUGUUGCGGGAUGUGUCAUUCGGUUGUUGUUGAGCUUAUUCGUGUUCUGAAAUGAUCUGUGAGUUACUCUUUCAUGCCAUGAGGGGUUGUGAUUCGUUGGUUAUAUGCACACAUGGUGUGGUGCUAUUUGGUCUGUAUAGCGGAAUUUGAGCGAGAUAAGUAUUUGGGUAUUUUGUGAUUGAUUGCGCGUUGGCUAUAUUCUUUCCGGAUUGUGGAAUUGUGUUAUUUUCCCUCCGUGGUUAUGGUAAUGCACUUUUGAUACUUGAUAUUGAAUUUCGCAUGGUCAUUGAUUUUGAGAAGGGUGGCUCGAGGUAUAUAAUAUAGACUAACGUUUGGAUGGGGUCACACAUUGUAGCAGAGUUAUAUUGGGGUAUGAUCCUUUGUGUUAGGUUCGUGUGUUUUGGUUCUACGGUGUGUGAUGGAUUUUCAGCAUUUCGUUGGGGUAGUACUUGUUAAGCUUGCGGGACAGUUAUCUUGUUUGAGUUAUUUUUUAUGAUUUGACUACAUUUGGAUUGUUGCUUACUAGUGCGCGGAGUGCAUGGGUUGUGGCUUAAGAUUGUAUUGAAGUAGCAUGUCACUAGAGUGAUCAUGUUAGAUGAGAUGAGGUCAUCGUACCUAGAAUGGGUGCUAUCGGAUCUGAUUGCGGUAUAUUUGGUAGGAUAUUGUUGCUGAUCGGCUUAGAAAUUUGCUAUAGUUCCUAUAAAAGGAGAGGGAGUUCCACAACUGGUUGAUCUGACGAAUGGUUAUGAGUUUCUGCGUGUUUCUUUUAUCAUUAGCAGUGUACGAAGGUUUUAGAACAAGACUUUGUUUGAUAUGAGAAUUAUUACUGGUAUUGAGUUAUUUUGAGCAGCUAUUGUAAUUAGAUUCUAAUUAUCACUAUGAGUAUUUGAGUUAUGCGGUGUAUCAUGUGAUAACAUCUUGGGUUAUGACUACGGCUUGAUACAACUUGUUCAGACUUAUAUAGUGUGUAGAUGUAAGAUUCAGAUCUUAUGGAAAAUUCCGAAUGUUGGAAAUUUGGUUCUAAGGUUUAUAAACUAGGUUGAAUUAUGAAUUUUCAGUUAUGUUGUGUUAUCAGACUUAUAUGGUAUAGGGUGACGUGGGAUCACCCCUGGGUAUGUGCAUGUUAAAGUUACACGGCGAUUUGAUGGCUUUUGGAACAACUCUAGGCACGCUCGGUUGUUUGAGGGCAUGAGUAGCUAUAUAUAAUGUAUUAUUACUUAUGUGAAUCGUCGGUUUUGAUUUUUAGGUUAUUCAAAAUUGAUUUAGAAGAAUGAUUCUCAGCUAGAAGCUUUAAAUUUGAAAGGUUUGACCAAGUUUGACUUUUUAGUAUUUUGACCUCGGAUUGAAAUUUUGAUGGUUCCAUUAACUCCAUUGGGUAGUUUUGGACUUAGGAGCGCGUACAGAUUGUGAUUUGGAGGUCCGUAGUAGAAUUUGGCUUGAAGUGGCGAAAGCUAAAAUAUUGGAAAGUUUGUCCAGGAGUGGACUUUUUGAUAUCAGGAUCGGAUUCCGAUUCCGAAAGUUGGAGCAGGUCCAUGAUGUCAAAUGUGACUUAUGUGCAAAAUUUGAAGUUAAUCGGACGUGAUUUAAUAGGUUUCAGUAUCAGAUGUGGAAGUUUGAAGUUUCAAGUUCAUUGAUUUUUGAAUUUAGGUGUGAUUCGUCGUUUCGAUAUUGUUAUGUGUAUUUUGAGGCCUCGAGUAGGUCCGUGUUAUGUUAUGGGACUUGUUGGUAUGUUUGGACAGGGUCCCGGGGGGCUCGGGCGUGUUUCGGAUUGAUUUCGGAGCAUUUUGGAAAUUUUUGGUUAAGGCUUGUUGCUGCUGGUUCUGGUGUGACUGCACAUGCGGCUAGUUUUCGUAGGUGCGAUGGUCGUAGAAGUGACAGUGGAGCCGUAGAAGCGGCGAGUGGCGCAGAAGCGAAGGUUGUUGGUGCACCUACGCGUGUGCAGAGGCGGAAAAUAUCCGCAGCUGCGGAAGGGUCGGUCUUCAUGGGCUUCGCAGAUGCGAGAUUCCAUUCACAGAAGCGGAGGUCGCAGAUGCGACAUUUUAACCGCAAAUACGGAAUCGCUAGGCAGAAUGUUAUAAGUUCGAGGGUUGGUUAUUUUUAUCACAUAUUGAGCUAUGGACUUCGGAAUGGAGCAAUAUUUGGAGCAAAUUUCAUUGCAAGGAUUGGGGUAAGUGUUCGCUGCUCGGGUUUGGUUAUAUUUCGUGAAUUUAUCUUCAAUUUUAGCUUUUGGUUGAUGAAUUUUAAAGAGGAGAUUGAGGGUUUUGGCCUAAAGUUUCAUAAUAUGAAUUUUUGAGUUUUGAACAUCGAAUUGGAGUCGGAAUUGAGUGAAACUAGUAUGGUUGGACUCGUAAUUAAAUGGGUUGUCGGAUUUUGUGAGUUUUGUCGGGUUCCGAGGUGCGGGCCCGGGUGUGAUUUUUGACCGGAUUUGGGAUUUGAUUUAGGAUUCGAUUUUUAUAAUUUGAAAAUGUUUCCUUGGACUUUAUUUGAUGUAUUUGAGUUGCUUUUGGCUAGUUUUGAGCCGUUCGGAGGUCACUACGCACGUGAUGACAUUUUUGGAGCAUCGCUUGGCUUGAUCGGUAUUGGAAUUGGCUUGUUCGAGGUAAGUAACUUUUCUAAACUUAGUGCUGAGGGUAUGAAACCCUGAAUUACGUGCUAUGUGAUUGAUGUUGAGGUGACGCACAUGCUAGGUGACGGGCGUGUGGGUGUGCAACCUGUGAAUUGUGAUUCUGUUUUUUCAUAGCACUGUUUAGUGGCCCUAUUUUGUUGAUAUAUGUAUUUUUACCAUGUGAUUAAGUAACUGAGCUGUCAAUCAUGCUAGAUAUCAUGUUUAGGUUUUAUGAUGAUAUUGUUAGGACACAUAGUGGUCGUUUCUUACUGUCAUCUCAUUGACUUUAUUGAUAUUUCGUACUCAGUCAUAUUCAUGCAUUCAUAUCAUAUCUCUGUCUCAGUUGUUGCUUAUUGAUACAUCAUAUCAUUGUUGUCGGGCUAGUUUUAUGACAUUGUGAGCCCGUGAGUGAGAAUGGAGAGAUUGAUGACUGAGAGCCUGAUUAUGAGUGACAACUAUGGGAUCGGGCUGCACGCCGCAGCAUGUUAUAUUGAUUUAUGCCUGGAUCUGGCUUAUGAUAGCGCUUGGGUUGUAGGAGCCCCUCCAGAGUCUGUACACACCCCCAGUGAGCGCGGUUGAUUAUAUUGAGGGAUGGAUCUUCCCUGGACAUGGAUCUUGCCCGAAGCAUUUAUAUACCUGGAGAUGGAUCUUCUCCUUGGUGCCGGAUUGGCCUUCCUCGGUACUGAGUGACUGAUGAUCAGUGAUGUAUAUAUUCGGGGAUGGAUCUUCCCUGGGUUGUAUGGGCCAUAUACAGUACCGAGUGGUUGAGCAUUGAUGAGUGGAAAGUCUGAAACAGUGAGAUUGAGUACUCUGAGAGUGUGAGUACAUGAUUCAUCUCUGAGAUACAUGGAAUUGGCAUGCACACAUUACAUACAUGCAUAGAGAUGCAUUUUUUCUCAUGUUGUACGAUAUCACGUGAUUCAUGACUUUUUACACACAUUGAUAUGUGGGCAUAGAGAGGUAUUUUACACUUGCUAUCUAGAAAGAAAAUGAAACAUCUUAUUUAUUGUGGAAAUGAUUUUUGGGAAAAUUUUCAAUUUUCAAACUAUCUCAUAUUUUUCGACGAUUUCGUUAAAGGAUUGGAUUUUCACUUAUAUUCUUGAAAAGUGAAACUAUUUUUGGAAAACUGUGGAAAAGCUGAACAUUUUACCUCUAAAUUACUUCCUUAUUUAUAUGCUCUAUGUUGUUGUAUACGGCGAAAUAAGAGGGCCUAAUUUCUUGCUAUCGAGUUACUUCAGAAGGACACCUCGAGACCCCGAGGACGCGAAGCUGUGACCGAGUUCCCUCCAUCGGAGCUCGUCGAGGUCCGACUUAAAGAGGAUACAUAUCGAGGCUAGAGUAAAAUAGGAUGUUCCCAAGGCACACGGCUGAGUCUAACAAAGCCGACCUACCUGGAGCCUGUAUCAAGGUGUCACGUCUAGCCGUCCCAUCUCCAUGCCUUUACAAUUAAUACAUUUUGUACUAUAAUGGGAUUCCCCUCCUAUAUAAAGGGGAUCCUCAUGACUUUGUAAAGGGUUGCUGUUGCUCCAACCAUUCUACAUAGGAUCAAUAACAUCUCUCUCUCUCUCUCUCCCUCUUUUCUCUCUAACGUAUUUUCUCGAUGUUAUUGCUUACCACUUUCAUAUUUGUUCUUCAUUCAUUGCUUGUUAUUGGCCAUAUAGAGCUUCCCUUGAUUAUACUCUAAUUGUUAGCUCCUUCCCGGUUACCCCCGAUAGCUCAAGCCCGAGCCCAGGCAUCGACCUCGAGGCCCUUUAUCGGUUAGCCCGAGGCCCGGACAGCUAACUCAUCGGUUUGAUCGUAACACUGUUUUAGCUCGCAUUUCACCUUUAUCUUCACAUAUCUAGCAUCCACUGCUCUAAACAACUAGCAUAAAAAUAGAUCACGUAUUUUUAGAGUCCCAUCAACAAAUUUAAUUAUUAUUACCAUUUUCAUGGUAAACAGUUUGGCGCCCACCGUGGGGCUAAAAAUAAUAGUGAUUAUUUUCUUGCUGGUUUCGUUACACAACACAAGUUAUCUUUCACACUUUUUCUUGUCCAAGAUCUUCGAUUUCAGGUCAAAAUAUCUGGCUCGGUAAACAGAGUUGAGAAUGACAACCUUGAAAACCACGGAGAAAACAGUGUGGCUGCUCCAAUUGUUGGCGCGCUACCACAGAACCCCGAUAAUGCACUCGGACCUAUUCCAGCGGACGCGGAUUUGCAAGACGCGUAACAGGUCGACGAAACCUCACACAAAGACAGGAGAAUACAACAUGGAGACCAAUAGGAAGCCCAAAAAACCCCGGUGCGGGAAGAACAAGAAGUUAGUCUUCAAGUUAUUUUUGAAAUAUUGCAGGCACAACAGUUUGCUAUUUUUCAGUUGCAAAGCCACCCGAAGACUCCCAACACAGUAGCACCGGAAACUACUCCCCCAGUUGAACAGGUACCGGAGAGAUCGAGCAACAACGGAUCGAUAGCUGACCCUGCCAUCGUGAAAAUGCUCGAGGACCUUACCAAAAGGAUCUAAUCAGGCGAGAAAAUGAUAGUAGCCAACGAUAAGAAGGUCGAGACCUACAACUCCAGGGUUGACCAAAUCCUGGGCGCACCCCCGGUCCUGAAGGGUAUAGAUUCGAAGAAGUUCGUGCAACGGCCGUUCCCAGAGGAAGUAGCUCCGAAACCCAUUCCAAAGAAGUUCAGAAUGCCGAAACACCCAAAAUACAAUGUGACCUCAGAUUCCGACGAACAUGUCACUGCCUACAUGUGCGCGGUAAAGGGCAAUGACAUAGGAGACGACGAGAUCGAGUCCGUCUCACUGAAGAAGUUCGGAGAAACGCUCUCAAAGGGGGCCAUGGUGUGGCAUCACAACCUAGCUCUCAACUCCAUAGAUUCAUUUGCCAUUGGCAGAUUCCUUCAUAAAGGCACACGCUGGUGCCAUCAAAGUAGCAACAAGAAAGUCUGACGUAUUCAAGAUUAAGCAAAGGGAGAAUGAAAUACUGCGAGAAUUCGUAUCUUGUUUCCAGACGGAACGAACAGAACUACCCCCGGUCUCCGACGACUGGGAGGUGCAGGCCUUCACUCAAGGCCUGAAUGAAUGAAGCUCGGUGGCUUCAGGACAGUUGAAACAGAACUUGAUCGAGUAUCUAGCUACGACCUAGUCAGACGUCCACAACCGGUACUUGUCGAAAAUCAGGGUCGAGGAUAAUCAGUUGGGAGCCCCCUCGGGCUCAGUAUAUCCGAGCAGACUCCUGGCAAAGGAACCGAAACCAAACAAAGAAAGAUACCAGCAAUACAUCAAAGAUAGGAGGAAUGCCCCGUGGCACAACCUACCUCUCAACGGUCAGAGAAUGGAUCAAGGAAAAUAUCCUCGAGGGCUCAUCAACAGAGCCAAAAUCGACGGAGACACGAGGCCAACGGGGGAACCUCACCUAUCAAGAUACAACUUCAACGUUGCUGCAUCGGACAUCGCGUCCACCGUCAGCAAAACUAGGGACAUCAUAUGGCCCAGGCCUAUUCAGUCGGAUCCUUCCUAGAGGAGUCACCACUUGGUAUGUGAGCUCCAUAAUAUGCACAGCCAUAGGACCCAAGAUUGCCACCAGCACCGAAAGGAAAUGGCCAAGCUACUUAGUAAAAGUUGCCGCCGAGAACUUUUGAGUGAUCGGGCUCAAGUUCAGCUCCGAGAAAGAAAGGCAGCCAAGAAGAGAGAAUCAAAUGGGCCACAACACGUUAUCAUGGUAUUGGAAGGGCGUCGACAUGCCCCGGGAACUUGUGAAGAGGAGGACAAAAAUAUCCAUCGCCGAAGAAAGACGAACCUGGGGAUACGUACCUGAAGGUGCCCUCACAUUCAGCAGGGAAGGCUCCGAAACCUCGCCUCAACUUCAUAACAACGCACUGGUAACCUCUUUCCUCAUUCAUCCAUUUCGAAUAAAACGUGCGCUUGUGAAUCCAGGUAGCUCGACCAACAUUAUCGGGUUGAGAGUGAUAGAGUAGCUCAGACUGCUAGACCAAAUCAUGCCCACCUCUCGAAUCCUUGAUGGAUUUAACACGGCGAUCGAAACAACGAAAGGAGAGACCAUUCUCUCAGCCGGCACAACCGGCGCAGACCGGAAUGCCAAAUUCCAUGACAUCAAAGGAGACGCGAGGCAUAAACACCUAAUUAUUCAGAUGGUCGCGGAUGCACCAUAUGAGAGCGGUACCAUCCCCCCUUCACCAAAUGAUGGAAUCCCCAGCAAAGGGUGGAAUUAAAACCGUCUACGUGGAACAACACUCAUCAAGGGAAGUGUUCGCAAUACGUAAUGUAGCGUCGACACCAAUAUCUCCACUCUCGGAAGGGUCAAAGGAUAAUCAAACUACGUCUUCAGCUAAGACUGAUUAAACACAGCGGAGGACCGUAUCGAGUCCUCGCUCCCAACAAUAGGGACACAUCAGGCCUCGAAACAUUGCCUUCGUACCCCACGAUAAGGUAAGACCACCUCCUUCUUUCAUUAUUUUACACUAACCCAUGUGCAGACACCCGGUCGGGGCGGUCGGAUAUACUGACCCAACCCGAAGAUCUCAAGGCCUUAACGGUAUCCAUUGCAUUCUUUUCCUUGGGCUGAGCUUUUGUCCCAAAAAGGGUUUCACCAGCAAAGUUUUUAACGAGGCAACGUACACGCACCACCUAAGGAGGAUCCGACAAGCUUGCAGGGCUUCUUUUGCAAUCAACCUUGAACACUGGGGGUGUUCGGGGCACCCCUUUGAGAGACCAUCCGCUCAGAAGAACCAGGAAACGAUGAACAAAGUUCCAAUAGAAAAUAACGUACCGGGCCAAACGGUCAAAUGAACCGUGUCCGCAUAAGCCGGGCUCGCGGCAACAAAACAACAUGUACUUAUGCCAAACAAUCAAAGAAUAUCUUUCGCCAAAGCAUCUCGUACUCCAAAGAAAAUCCAACAUCCUCACAGCAAGGAUCCCUUCACCGAGAACGCCCCGAGAUACUCGAAGAAUAGCGUCAAUAAUUCGGCAAGGAAAUAGCGGAAUGUCUCCAAAAGAGAAGAUGCCCCGAACACUUGGAGACUGGCAUCACAAACUCAGAAAACACAUGACCCCAGGUUCGGAAUCUCCGAAAAAACGUAAGCCCUCAUUGAGGCAAUUCCAAGCUACCUCUGAGCCUAAACAAACUCGAUGACUCGGAGACUGUCGCCAAUCGCUAUUCACUUAAAAACCCGAUGCCAUAAGGCCCCAAGAGGGCAGACUCGAUCUAGCAAGGCCUGUUUGAUGGGGCAAUGAAAAAACUAUAAGACCUCNNNNNNNNNNNNNNNNNNNNNNNNNNNNNNNNNNNNNNNNNNNNNNNNNNNNNNNNNNNNNNNNNNNNNNNNNNNNNNNNNNNNNNNNNNNNNNNNNNNNNNNNNNNNNNNNNNNNNNNNNNNNNNNNNNNNNNNNNNNNNNNNNNNNNNNNNNNNNNNNNNNNNNNNNNNNNNNNNNNNNNNNNNNNNNNNNNNNNNNNNNNNNNNNNNNNNNNNNNNNNNNNNNNNNNNNNNNNNNNNNNNNNNNNNNNNNNNNNNNNNNNNNNNNNNNNNNNNNNNNNNNNNNNNNNNNNNNNNNNNNNNNNNNNNNNNNNNNNNNNNNNNNNNNNNNNNNNNNNNNNNNNNNNNNNNNNNNNNNNNNNNNNNNNNNNNNNNNNNNNNNNNNNNNNNNNNNNNNNNNNNNNNNNNNNNNNNNNNNNNNNNNNNNNNNNNNNNNNNNNNNNNNNNNNNNNNNNNNNNNNNNNNNNNNNNNNNNNNNNNNNNNNNNNNNNNNNNNNNNNNNNNNNNNNNNNNNNNNNNNNNNNNNNNNNNNNNNNNNNNNNNNNNNNNNNNNNNNNNNNNNNNNNNNNNNNNNNNNNNNNNNNNNNNNNNNNNNNNNNNNNNNNNNNNNNNNNNNNNNNNNNNNNNNNNNNNNNNNNNNNNNNNNNNNNNNNNNNNNNNNNNNNNNNNNNNNNNNNNNNNNNNNNNNNNNNNNNNNNNNNNNNNNNNNNNNNNNNNNNNNNNNNNNNNNNNNNNNNNNNNNNNNNNNNNNNNNNNNNNNNNNNNNNNNNNNNNNNNNNNNNNNNNNNNNNNNNNNNNNNNNNNNNNNNNNNNNNNNNNNNNNNNNNNNNNNNNNNNNNNNNNNNNNNNNNNNNNNNNNNNNNNNNNNNNNNNNNNNNNNNNNNNNNNNNNNNNNNNNNNNNNNNNNNNNNNNNNNNNNNNNNNNNNNNNNNNNNNNNNNNNNNNNNNNNNNNNNNNNNNNNNNNNNNNNNNNNNNNNNNNNNNNNNNNNNAACAGACAUAAACAUAUUGUAAGACCUCAAUAGGCAUGAACAUACUGUAAGACCUCAACAGGCAUGAACAUACUGUAAGACCUCAACAUGCAUGAACAUAAUGUAAGACCUCAACAGGUAUGAACAUACUGUAAGACCUCAACAGGUAUGAAUAUACUGUAAGACCUCAAGCAAGGCAUGAAUCACACUUGUACCAAGUGUCAACAAAACUGUAAGUCCUCAACAGGCAUGAAAAUUUUGUAAGACCUUACUACAGGCAUAAACUCAAUCCCGAUGUUUAGGCUAUAUGUCGCAUUUGUAAGACUCCCGAAAGGGCAUACCCUCAAUAUAGACGCCUAAACUACUACACUCGGGAUCAAAAAUGGCUCCGACCAAACACAAAUGACUACGGUCAAUACAGCUGCACCAGCCAAAUUAACGCGACUCGAGGACACCCGACCGUCGCUAUAAAAUCACAGGCCAUUACUUCAAAAAGAACCAGUUAAACAGGAUACCCUCGACAGGCAAAUGAGCUUCGACCAUGUCAGCUCCAAAUCACAGGGCUUCGAGCUACUCAGCCUAUGAGCUAAACCUUCCAAGGUGCUCGAACAUCGACGCAAACGACUUGAAAUCGAGGUUCUUCCCGAACCGACGACGGGUCAGGCAAAAUCAUUUCAAAAAGUCCUUAACGAUAGGAAAACAAAUCCUACAAAUGCCUAAGGGCAAAGCGUAAGAGCCAUUGCCGCUAGCCUAAUGAGCCUCAGGGCCACACACACUAAACGAUCGCAACAACCAGAAGCGUAAGAGCCACUGUCGCCAACUUAAAAAUUUGAAGGCUUGAGGGUCAAAGUGAGCUCGAGUCGCAACCCGAUUCGGAGACCGGACCCAAAAUAGUUAACUAUACAUGCCCAGGGUCAAAGCAUAAGAGCCAUUAUCGCCAGCAUCAUGAGCCUCAGGGCUACGCACAUAAAAGGUCACUUCGACCCAAGGCAUAAGAGCUGUUGUCGCUAGCCCACACAAAUAUUGUACUUAAGGGUCAAUUGUGCUCGAGUCAAAACCCGACUCGGAGAUUGAACAUAAAAUAGUUAAAAUACAAAUGCCCAAGGGCAAGGCGUAAGAGCCCCCGGGCCUGCCUGAUGAGCCCCAGAGCCGUAUUAACGAAUCUAAGGAUUCUCACCAACUCCGAAACCAGUCCACCUGGUCAAAGGCAAAGUAGAAAGGGGUACAUAAGCAAUGAAGCUUCAAGUUCUCUCCUAUUUACAUACAUGAAAAAGUGCAUCCUCUAUCUACAAAUGCGCCCUGGAAAUAUCGCAUACAAGAUGGCAAAGUCUACGCCCCGCCCCUAAGGGCUACGACCUAUCAACCUCAUCUUUGCUCUCCUCAGUGCUGGACAGGAGUAACCGAGCUUCAUGCUCGUCCGCCCUCGCUCGCGCCAGCUCUUCCGGGAGAACAAAACCCCUGGCGUCGAUCUCCUCAAGAACCCUUCUUUGGGAUCUACAACGAACAUAUUCCUCGAUCCUCUCUUUAUGAUCGAGGACCUUCUUCAACUCGGCUUUGGCAUCGGUAGCAUCCUUCAUAGGAAUUGCCAUCUCCUGAUCGACCUUAGUCCAACUCAAUUCUGCUUCAGCCCGAGCAUCAACGAUCUCAGCCCUGACCUUCGAAAGCUCGGACUCGAGCUUCGUGGUCAUAUCCACUUAAACUGAAGCGUUGUCGCGAUCCAAGGGGAGUUGGGCCUCGAAGGUAGGAACUUUAUCCAAGGCACCCUUCUCCUCUGAAGCUUGAGCCUGCACCUAAGCUCUUAGCUAGCCAUAGUCAUUCCUAACUCGGUCGGCUUUACCCCUAAGGCGCUCCAGAGCCUCCGUCUUUUUCUGCAACUGGGAUAGGCAAAAAAUUAACCCAAAAGGUUAAAAAGCAAAACGCAUACCACGAGAAAUUACCUGCUCCAUCAAAUAGCUCUCGUAAUUCGAGCUCCGGUACGCCUCAUAUCGCCAGUGUGUCAACUCAACUUUCUUCUCCUCGCAAAGGAGCCUAAGGGACCUACCCUCAUCCAGAGCUUUUUGAAGCCUAGCCCCAUGAUGGAGCAGCUUAGACUUAAGCCUAUCAAAGGCCUGCAGAAGAAAAAAUCGAUAAGGAAGGGAAGACGCGAGAUGCGGAAGGCCUGUGCCAAAACUCACCGCAAAGUGAAGCCGACAGACUUCCUCGAAGGCCGAGCACACUUCUGUUGAUCCAGCCCCCUCGGCCCUGGAAGAACCAACCUCGGUCGAAGCAUGAUCACUUAGAGAAACCACCUCUCCAGAGCCAGAGAUUUUGGGUACAGCAGGCUCGGGCGAUGUUUUCUCCUCAAAGACUCGGCCCCAUUUCGUCCUGCUGUGAGCUCCAUCGCACUGCAAAUGCAUAUUCCAAUUAUCAUUAUCGUCCUUCAGCUCAGAAGCUGGCAACUCCACUCCCUCUCCGGAGGAGCACAACCUCACCCUUGGAGACCCUCCAAUACCUACGACGACAAGAUUAUUACAUGAAAAGGGGGGAAAAUAUCUUCCCAAAUGUACGAAGGAUAAGGUAAAAACAGCGUAUGCACGUACCGUGGUAUUUAGCUUCCCAUCUGCCCCGAGAUACAACUCGCCACCUAUGCUCAUCACAAGUCGAAUGGGUCACCAGCUUCCGGACCCAGCCGGGCAAACAUGAACUUCGCUCGGCGCCCAUGAAAUUUUUGCAAAAAAGAAGGAAACACGAUUACUAAACUAGCUUUCACCAUGAGCGAAUCUGAGCAAGCAUGAGAUGCUCCACUCACGCGUGUAAUUCCAUUCCUCGGGGAAUGGCAUAAGUUCUGUAGGGAUAACGUCAGUCGUCCGAACCCGGACGAAUUGACUAAUCCACUCUCGAUCUCCAUCUUCCUCAUCAUCAAUAACAAAGGGCGUGGACGAACGACACCGCAAGGUUAGCAGGCCUCGAUGAUGAAAGGGCCGGUACAGUCUGACGAGGUGACUGAGAAUGAAUUCAAGCCUUGCUUUCUCUACAAAGAACCUCAUCAUCAACACUAUUCGCCAAAACGAUGGAUGUAUCUUUGCCAAAGUAACCCGGUACUUUAAACAUAAAUCGAGCACGACCCUAUCAAGGGGGCCUAGUGCGAAAGGGUACAAGUACACAUUCAGGAAUCCAUCGGCGAGGUCCGUGAUACCCUCAUCUGGGGGAAGCGCCUGCAAUGCGACCCCCUCGCCCCAUCCACAGUCUCUCCUCACUAGCUCCAUAUGCUCCUCUCUUAUCGAAGACAUAGUCUUUAGAGUAAACUCCCGUGGAUCCUGAGCACUGGGAGUGGAACUCUCCCCUCUCCGUCGGGCAAACCCUGAAGUGGAAGUCAUGGCUAUGGUGGAACUAGCAAACUGAAGCGGGAACCUAUACAAACACUUUAGCGCUAAGGUAACAAAGGACUCGAUGCCAAAACGGGAGGAUAACUAUCUAAAAUAAUGAGAUAUUCUAAGAAGCGGGAGCAACCCCAAAUAUAUGUGGGGAAACAGCAAUGAUUCGCCUACCCGAGUUAGGCCCCGAGAGACCAACGGCUUUGGUACGGGUUAAAAGGUCGAGUACCCGACCUCGAGGUUUCCUCUCAAGGAGAAAAACAAGCACUUCGAGCUCCUUCAAUGAGGGCUCGACCUCAGGAAGUCGCCUAAAUAUAAGUAACCCCUCCUCAAAGACCUGCCUACAAUGCCAUAAAAGGUUAUUCGCAUCAAGUUAAAAGUAAAUCUCCGAGUACCCGAAGCUGACUUUCACUCAGAGGCCGCUCUCAAAAUUUCAAGGUUCGGUGCUCUAUCUCCAUGAGGCUCGAGGGCCCUGAUGACCCGAGUUUAUCGGACCGCUUCAGGCUUGACCCGAGGAACAACGAUGAGCUUGAAAAGGAGCCAUUUCUAUCAACUGGAGACUAGAAAGAAUGCUCGCACCCGAGUUGAAUAUUGACAAUCGUCAACAGAGACAUACAUUCAAAAUCCUCACAAAUGCACAAGAAUAUACAAGAAUAUGGCAAAUAUCAAAAGUAGAAGUAAAAAAGAUGUCCUUUUAUUUCAUAAAUAUUGGCUUACAAUGGCCUCGAGGGGUCCUUACAUACAAAUUACAAAAGCCCGCAAGGGGUCCUUACAAAGAAAUAAAGGGGUAUACACCCAUAGUGAAAACCUAAGAAGCUAGUCCAUCCUCGAAGGUUCAUCUCCGGUAUCAGCAUCCCCGAGCGUCGCCUCCUCGAACUCGCAUCCUCGAAGGCAACUUCUUCGAUCGCCAUCUCCUCUAGGUUCCCAGCUCAAUCCCGCAAAAAGUCCUCGCCGAUGGAGAAGAUGAAGAACAGGAAAAGGGGGGAUGCAGAAGAGGCAGAGAAAAGAGACAUAGCCCGUCGAAGCCAAAGGUUGAAGAUUCGGCGGGCCCCUGCCUCAAUGGCCAGUUGUGCCAUUUUAUCCCUUGGGAAAGAAAAACCUAAGGGAUGAAGUGCCACACCAGGCCAGGGUAGGAGAGUGGGUAGUGGUGUAUAGUCCGAAUAACUUUCUAAAAAAGGGGAAAGUCGAUUCCUCAUCUAUCGUCAUCUCGAGCCAAUAAGGACAGUAGUAACAAUCACAAAAACAACGACAGCGAUGGUAAGACUUUAUAAUCCCGCUCGACAAAGGGAAGCUCAUGCAAAAGGCCACAACAUAGCCUAUGGGAAUGCUGCCAAACAACCUUAAGGCCGUGAACUCCGAACAUGGUGAUCAACAAUAGAGGAAGAUGGCGAGGAGAAAAGGAUGAAUGAUCAAAUGAAGACACUUGGAUAGAAAAAUAAUGCCAGAACGCUCCCAUUUAUAGGGGGUAAUAACAUGACCAUCAAUGCCUUUGGAAGACUGACCAAUGGGCGCAAUUACUGCAUUCUGGAAGAACUGAAUCGAUGGCGGUACUGCCACAUUGAAGAACAGGAAUCGACAGCGCAUUGAAUGGCGUCGAAAAGACAAGCCCAUGAAAUGUCCCACUUGUUGUGAAAAUUCAAACCAUAGAUUGCAUCAUCGAUAUGACAUCAUCACGGGGAGCCCGAGGAGUCGGGCAUCAUAAUCGUUUCCCAUCACUUCGUUCUGAGACACGCGGGACUUAUCUGUGUACGGUGAAAUCAUAGGGCCUAAUUUCUUGCUAUCAAAUUACUUCAGAAGGACACCUUGAGACCCCGAGGAUGCGAAGCUGUGACCGAGUUCCCUCCCUCGGAGCUUGUCGAGGUCCAACUUAAAGAGGAUACAGAUCGAGGCUAGAGUAAAAUAGGGGGUUCCCAAGGCACACGGCUGAGUCUGACAAAGCCGACCUACACAGAGCCUGUAUCAAGGUGUCACGUCUAGCCGUCCCAUCUCCAUGCCUUUACAAUUAAUACAUUUUGUACUAUAAUGGGAUUCCCCCUCCAAUAUAAAGGGGCUCUUCAUCACUUUGUAAAGGGCUGCUGUUGCUCCAACCAUUCCACANNNNNNNNNNNNNNNNNNNNNNNNNAUUUUGUACUAUAAUGGGAUUCCCCUCCAAUAUAAAGGGGCUCUUCAUCACUUUGUAAAGGGCUGCUGUUGCUCCAACCAUUCCACAUAGGAUCAAUAACAUCUCUCUCUCCCCCUCUUUUCUCUCUAACGUAUUUUCUCGACGCUGUUGCUUACCACUUUCAUAUUUAUUCUUCAUUCAUUGCUUGUUAUUGUCCAUAUAGAGCUUCCCUUGAUUAUACUCUAACUGUUAGCCCCUUCCUGGUUACCCCUGAUAGCUCGAGCCCGAGCCCAGGCAUCGACCUCGAGACCCUUCAUCGGUUAGCCCGAGACCCGGACAACUAACUCAUCGGUUUGAUCAUAAUGCUGUUUUAGCUUGCAUUUCACCUUUAUCUUCACAUAUCUAGCAUCCACUACUCUAAACAACUAGCUUAAAAAUAGAUCACGUAUUUUUAGAGUCCCAUCAAUAAAUUUAAUUAUUUUUACCAUUUUCACGGUAAAUAGUUAUUAUGAAUUGUUGUUGGCUACUGGUGUUGGACCCGACCAUGUUCCAGCUCAUCACUACUUUCAUCCUAAGGUUAGGUUUGUUACUUACCAGUACAUGGGGUCGAUUGUACUGAUACUACAUAUCUACACAUUGCAUGUAGAUGUUGGCUGCUGUGGUUGUUGUGUUCGAUGGGAGCUAGAUUUGAAGAUGUACAUGCGUUCCGGUUGUAGCUACCUCUUGUUCAUGGUAGCCGUAGAUUUAUAAAAGCUCUGUUUAUGUACUUUUCAAACAGAAGAUGUAUUUACUUCAUAUCAGCUUUGUAAAUUCUAUUCUUAGAAGCUCAUGAUUUGUACUACCAGUCAUUGGAAAAGUGUAUAAGAUUUAGAUAAUUCUCUUAUUUAAAUUGCCUUAUUAAAUAUUAUGGGAAUUGGAUAAUAUAGUUGGCUUACCUAGCGGGUUGGGUUAGGUUCCAUCACGAAUAAUAAAUUUUGGGUCGUAACAUAUGAUGACUCAUCACAUGGCUACAGUAACUCUCAUAGGAGAGGUCUCCUUGAUCAUACACCCCAUUUUCUUGGCAAUGAUCUCUAUGUCUAAAAAACUGUGGGUACUACUUGAAUCUAACAAGAUAGACAUGUUGUUAUUUUUGGAUUCUCCUCUUAGCUUAAUGGUAUUAGGAACUUCAGUACCUUAUAAGGCAUUAAGGCUGAUUGCCUCAUCAAUUACCUCUUCCUCUUGUAGGUCAAAGGUUGUUUCUUCACACCGUGCAUCCCCUGGCUCUUCUGCAUUUUGAUCAGUGGUUGCAGAGAUGGCAUUUAGCUGUCAUUGUUUGCAUUGGUGCCUUGAAUGAUAUUUAUUUCCACACUUGUAGCAUAGUCCUUGGGCUCUCCUGCUUUCAAACAAUUUAUUUCCUUGAUUACCCAAUGAACCAUUAGGAAAUCUAGUGGCCUAAGAUAAGUAGCCUAUAACUAGUCCUUUAUUCCUUUGCAACCUUUCUUUCUUGUUCAAAGAUUCCAACAAAUUCUCCUGAAGCCUAGCCUUCUUCACAACCUUACUAAAGGAAUAUGGAUCCAACAUUUUCAUUGAAUGCCUAAUCUCUUCCUUCAACCCUUCAAUGAAGAAUUUUAGGAAGAAUUCUUCCGGAAUUGUAAGGUUUCUAAUUAACGCCCAGGCCUUCAACUCUUCUAAUUCCUCUAAGUAUUCGCUAACAGUUCCUUUUUGUUCUACAUUUUUUAAUUCAUCAAUGAGGUUCAAUUUACUGUUAGCUGCACCUUCAAAUCUAUUACAGAUUUCUAUAGUAAAAUCUGUCCAUCUAACUAUUUAUUUUCUAAUAUGGUAGGAGAAGAACCAAGAUUCAGCCUUACCAUUAAGGUGAAGAACAGCUUCUUCCCAUUUCUGCUCUGGGUCUGUGAUGUGGUUGUACUGAAAAUACCUCCCACAUCUGUGCAACUAGGCACAUGGAUCCAUGCCUUCAAAAUAUGGAAUUUCCCACCUUGAAUGAGAAGAGUUCCUUUAUGAUUGGCCCAAAGAAGAAUCACCAUUUUCCCCCAAUCGAUGUCUACUGCCAGACCCCAUGAUUUGCAGACCUUCAGUCGGCGCACUACCCAGGAUUCCUCCUUGUUGGGGAAUGAGUUUCUCUAUUAGCAUGCCAAUAUGUUUACCUAGAUAUUCAAUCUUCGAGUCGUUCGAUGACAUGUAAUUCUGCGAUUGUACUUCUAGUUUUUUGACUGACUCGUCAGUAGAUUUAGACCUUAUUUCUGCUCCUGUCAUCGUGAAUGUGGCCAGGAAAUAGAUCUGAUACCAAUUGUAAUGAACUUAUAAAAUUGAAAUGUAAACUAAGAAAUUGUCACGAAAAUGAAUGAACAAUGAACUUUUAUUAUUUCCUCUACUCAGUUACAAUAGGAAUUACAAAUUGAAUUGAAAUUAAUCUGCAACUCCAUUAAUGAAUUCACAACCUGAAAAAAUAUUAAGAUGAGUAAAAGAAGAAGAGAGGAGGGAGAUGAACGUGAGAGAGAAUAGUGAGAAGAGAAAGAAAGAAUUACUGGCCAAAACUAAUUCUGUUGGGCCCAAUCCAAAUCUGUUAAGAUAGCCCAAUCCCUUAAUGUAAUGACCCGAUCGGUUGUUUUGAGAAAUUGCACUUCGCUCGCCAGUACUCGGGCAUGACUAGACCCGUAUGAUGUAUUAUGACUUAUGUAAAUCGCCAGUUUUGGUUUUCAGGAUAAUCAGAAUAGAUAUGGAAGAAUGAUUCUCAACUUGAAGCUUUAAAUUUGAAAGGUUUGACCCAGUCUUGACUUUUUAGUAUUCGAUCUCGGAUUUGAAUUUUUAUGAUCUGGUUAGAUCCAUUGGGUGAUUUUAGACUUAUGAGCAUGUUCGGAAUGUAUUUUGGAGGUCUGUGGUAGAUUUAGGCUUGAAUUAGCGAAAUUGGAAAUUUGGUGUUUUCCGGUCGGUAGUGGAAAUCUUGAUAUCGAGGUCGGAAAGGAAUUCCAGAAAUUAGAGUAGGUCCGUAGUAUCAUUUGUGACGUGUGUGCAAAAUUUCAGGUCAUUCAGCUGAGGUUUAAUAGGUUUCGGCAUCGUAUGAGGAAUUCGGAAGUUUGGAAAUCCUUAGGCUUGAAUCCGAGGGUGAUUUGAUGUUUUGAUAUUGUUUUGAGUGUUUUGAAGGUUGGAAUAAGUUUGAAUGGUGAUAUGUAAUUUGUUGGUAUUAUUGGUUGAGGUCCCGAGGGCCUCGGGAUGAUUUUGGAUGGUUAACGGAGAGUCUGGAUGAGGAAUAAGGCAGCUGAAGUUGCUGCUUCUGAUGUUUCCGCACAUGCGGAGUUGGAAUCGCAGGUGUGAUGAUCACAGAUGCGGAAGAUGAAUCACGGAUGCGGGAUUUUGAAGAGCUGAGGCAGGAGGCACAGGUGCGGAUAGUGAAGCGCACCUGCAAGAUCGCAGGUGCAGUGUUGUGAUCGCAGAAGCGGUUUCUGAGGGCAUAAGUGGGAAUCGCACUUGCGAUGGAUAUUCCACAGGUAAGGCAUCGUAGAAGCGACAUUUUGACCACAGAUGCGGUACCUCUGGACAGAAAGUAUAAAUUGUGGACUUCGCGAAUUUUGGUUCAUUUUCCACCAUUUUUAGUCGGCUUUGAAGCUUUUGAGAGAGAUUUUGAGGAGGAAUUCAAAGGUUUAUAAGUAAGGUAAGCGACUUGAGCCCUAAUAAUCGUAUAUGUGAUGAUUUCGCGUUGUGUAAUCAUGGAAUUUGUGGAAAAAUUAGGGAUAAAAUUGGGGAAUUAGGGCUUGAAAUUGGAGAGUAUAAAUUAGGGAUUUGAUGGGUCAUUUGAGGUCCGAUAUUGGUAAAUUUGGUAUGUAUGGACUCGUGAGAGGAUGGGGAUUCUGGUUUUAUGAUUUUUAUCGGAUUCCAAGACAUGGGCCCGGGGGUCAGGUUUGACCAAUUUUGGGAUUUUUGAGUUUAUUUGAUUACUUUCACUUGGGCUUUGUUCCUUUAGCGUGUAUUAAUGAUAUAAUACUAAUUUUGGUUAGAUUUGGAGCAUUUGGAGGUUGAGUCAUGAGACAAAGGCAUCGCGGGUUAGAGUUCGAUCCGGUUUGAGGUAAGUAAUGAUUGUAAAUGUUCUCCUGAGGGUAUGAAACCCUGAAUUUCACAUUGUUCUACUACUUUGAGGUGACGCACAUGCUAGAUGACGAGCGUGGGGGCAUGCACCGUUGGGGAUUGUGACUUGGUCUGUCCCGUAUGACUAGUAAGUCGCGUAUUUGAUUGAAAACUAUUUGAUAAUAUUGUGUUUUAGAAAGUAUUACUAUGUUUUGGGCUGAAUGCUAUAUUUGGGCCUCGUGCCAAGCUGUUGGACCCUUAGGGGAUUUUGACUAUUAUUCCUCACUGUUUUAAUUUAAUAUCUAUACUCAGUCAUGCUAUUUUUUACUAACUUCAUAACUCAGUCUUUAUUCUCCGUGUUUGAUGCAUAAAAUGAUAUUUUAGGCUGAGCACCCUAUUUUACUGUUAGCCCGAGUGGCUUGAGAGAUUCCUGACUGAGUGAGGCUGAUGGGCUGUGUUGUGAGGAUAUUAUGGGAUCGGGUGGCACGCCGCAGUAGGUUGUUACUGAUUCAUGAUAUUGUGAGGCCGAGGGCCUAGAUUGAUUCAUGCCAAGAGAUGGCUUGUUUUUAUGAGGCCGAGGGCCUGAUUUAUUAUGCCACGAGAUGGCUUGUUAUAGAGCUUGAGUUGUAGGAGCCCCUCUAGGAGUCUGCACAUCCCCCAGUGAGCGUAGGUCUAGCACUUGGGCUAUAGGAGCCCAUCCGGAGUCUUACACCCCAGUGAGCGCGGGUACCCUGAGUGCGUGAUAUGUUGUUGCGCGAGGGGCUGUUCUUGAUUCAUGUUAUGCCCGAGGGGCUGCUGACGAGUGAUUGUGAGGUAUGCCCGCGGGGUUGUGUAUGAGUGGCAGUGAUGAUUUCCCGAGGGGCUAUUGAUGGCUUAUGUUGUUCGAGGGGCCGUUUAUGAUUUAUGUUGCCCGAGCGGCUGUAUACGAGUGAGUUUUUACCCGAGGGUCCGACUAUGUUUUCAUCAUUUCUACUCACUAUUUCAUCACUUGUUUGAAAACUGCUGAAAGAUGUUUUAAAUGGAUUUUUCACAUCUUCAAAUGAUUUUUACCGACAACUGGAUUUUUAACGAAAUAAUUUGAUUUACACACUGUUUUGGAAACACACUAUACUUAUUGUGGUGUUAUGACGUGGAUUAUGUGUUUUCUUACUGCUCAGUCUUUAUUUACUCUUAUUACUUACUGAGUUGGUGUACUCACAUUACUCCCUGAACCUUGUGUGCAGAUCCAGGAGUUGCGGUUGUGAUAGCGAGCGCUAAUCUUCAUCCAGCGGGUCUUUUGGAGUUGGCAAGGUAGCUGCAUGGCGUUCGCAGCCUUGCUCUUCUCCCUCUUAUCUUCCCUAGAUUAUAUUAGUAUUAUUCCCAGACUUUGAUAGACUACAUUGUAUUCAGACAGUUCCUAGUAGACGCUCGUGACUUGUGACACCCCGAUGUUGGGCUUGUGUUAUUUUUCGCACUUAUUAUUAGACUCAUGUUAUGGAAUUUUUAUCGAUUAAUAGCCUAAAA